UACGUAGGGUGCAAGCGUUAAUCGGAAUUACUGGGCGUAAAGCGUACGCAGGCGGCUUUGCAAGACAGGUGUGAAAUCCCCAAGCUUAACUUGGGAACUGCAUUCGAGACUGCAUAGCUAGAGUAUGGGAGAGGGAAGUGGAAUUUCAGGUGUAGCGGUGAAAUGCGUAGAUAUCUGAAGGAACAUCAGUGGCGAAAGCGACUUCCUGGACCAAUACUGACGCUCAUGUGCGAAAGCGUGGGGAGCAAACAGG
rnacentral:rRNA from 1 species